AAAGAUAUACAAGAAAGGAUACAAGUGGCUGUCAGCAUGUUUUCUAUAUAAAUCAUAUAAUGCAAACAAAGGGAGAGCAGAAAAUAUUUCUGUGUGCAACUGCUCCCUUUUAAUUUACCACAUUCUGUAAUAAACGUAUCAUCCAAUUCUCUGAGAAAUAAGAGGUCUUCUAUGGAUCUAAGAGCCAAGCAAAGACUGGGAGAAAGUCAUCUUUCCAGAUAUGGCAACAGCAAAACUCCUGUGAUUGAACGACUGAAGAGUAGAAAUAAUAAAAGUCAACACCUAUGAGAGCGAUGCAUUCCAAUAUGAAGAUGAUGAUCUCCCAGCUGUGUCUCUAGGCGCAGCUAUCUGACACUGGUACAGAAGUGGUUGGCACUCGAACAGCACUGUCCCACCUCUGAAAGCUCCUCCAUGAGGGGAAAAAAGGAUCAGGGGAUGUACAUUUUCUCCACUUUCACUCUUGGACUCUGCGUUGGACAUAUCAACUGUUUGCUGCUGGCCUCGUGCUCACUGAAGACUGCUUCUUCUCAGCGCUGAAGAACCUGGCGUUUGAGUAGGAUGGCGAUCAUAAACUGCAGAACUCUAAGGCAGUUAUGGAAGAGCAAAAGAAUAAAAUCUUAAUUUCUUUACCUGCAUUCUCAAGCUGUCAAAGGCUGCAUCAGUGAUGGCAUAACUGCCUAGGAGGCAGGCAAGAUUCUGCAGCAAUCAGGGUUAUUAAAACCAAUCUGAAUUACAGAGGCUAAAGCAAAACUUAUUUCUAUAAAGCAAGGCUUAUUUCUCAAUAUUGUGUUCGGCACAGCAUAAUGAUUAAAGAAUAUUAUUUUUCUGAGUUUUGGGGAGCUUUUAUCACAUAUGAUACUAUUAAGAAUUACUGCAACCCAGUGUUCUUAAACACAAAUAAAACAGUGAUAGACUGAGUAACAGUGGAACAAAAACCAGUCGGCAGUAGAACUCUGAAUAACACUCAUGGAGUAUACAGCUUGAUCCUGACAAGUAUUCUUAUUUAGGAUAGAAAGCAAAUUGAAAAGCUACAAAACCCACAAUUGGACAAGUAUCACUGAAAGGUAUUUUCAAAAGCAAAUUAGUAACUUCAGUGGGAAAAGGAAGGAAGGAAACAAGCUUUUGUGGGAAUUCUCCCAGUCCCACAAAGUAUGCAAAAUCAGACAACGUUAUGACAAAACCUUAGAAGACUCUGCUUACGUUAACACAGCUUUAAGAAGCCAGUUGAGUUCAAACAGAAAUCAAUGGCCAGAAAUAGAAUUUGCAUCCCCGGUACCAGGAGAAAAAAGCAGUAGACAAUAAUUUCAGCUUACAGAUUUUGUUUAUCAUAAAAAUAGUUACUGCAAGGGAAUCAAACAGAUUUUAAAACGAUCUUCACUUUUAGCAGUGUAGGUUGUGUGUUUUAGCAGCCAAACCUGUGGCUUUUGCUCACACAUCAAUCCAUAUGCAGGAUGGAAGCCAAGAACAAACAAACCACCCUCUCCAUCACAGAAACCUACACACCUGGCCCUGUAUUGCUCCACUUAACAAGAAGUCUGACACUUGCUCAGAAGGGAAAGAAUCAUGCCCAACUUGGAAGACAACUUUAUACUAUUUGCAGUAUUUUUAAUGGCAGAGCAGAGGGAAGAUACCAUCUCAGUAUCGUUCGAUAAAAAAUCAAUGUGGAAAGAUGAAAUUCCCACAGAGCAACAGUUGUCACCUCGAGUGUCAACUACACGCUGCACUUCGGCUGCUAAUAUUGAAAUAUGUUGCCUUCAGAGAUCUGUUCAUGCACGGCUUUGCUGCUGCUGCACAUGCAAGUGAGUGGGUAACAGUUGAAGGAUACAUAAGCAAUGUGCUCACUGAAGACGGCUGUUUCACAGCACACAGUGUGCCCUACUGAGUAUGGAAGUUUCAAAAUGGCAGUCAUGAUCUACAGAGUCCAUUUCAGACUCCUCACAUUUGAUAAGGCAUUCCAAAGCCAACGACUGAGACAAGAUCCAAGAACGUGUAAGUCUAGAGCUAUAAAAACAGGAGCCUUUGAGGGAAAACAAAGAGUUUUUCUACUUGCUUUAAACUUCUUUACGCAACUGUUCCUGCUUUGCAAAAUAAGUUUCCCACCGCAGUUCACGGUAUGCUACAUUUGUCUCUGUGUGAAUGUAAUGAAAUUAUCCACAUCUUUGAGUAACAGUUGAAAAUGAGAGUUCCAGACCACUAGAGAUGUUAGGUAAAGCUAAAUAUCAUGCCAGAGCAAACAAAAUAAGAAUGAGUGGAAAUGGACAAUGUGACACAGGGAGUUUUGGAAGAAACAAACAGAGAAGUACUGAAGUUCUCAAAUGGACUGAGUGCACCAAGAUUUAUGUGAAAUACUUUCUCUCUACACUGUUGGAAACACUGUUUUGGGGGUGGGGAUGGAGGUGAGGACAGGGAGGAUUAGAAAAGAGAAUGCAGCAGUGGUGCUUGAUCUAUUUCUGAACAUCAAGAGCCAUAUUUAAUAUAAACUUUCCAUUUAUGCUGCUGGUAGAGAGCAGCUGCAACAAGAAAACAUUCAUGAAUUCUGUAAUUCAUUUUGUCUUGAAAAAUACAACCAGACAACUCUGCACUCACCCCAUGAAUGGGCUGGAUGAUCAAAUGGAACGACAGAGUUUAGAUUGUUAAAUGAGAAGUUAUGAUAUCCUUAUGAGUUCCAGUUCAUGAUUAAUUCUCAGGUAGCUGAUCACUCUGAAAUCUGGCCAAGUUUUGAAGGCAGAGGUCAAAAAGGGACUUCUUUUCAACAGUUAUUCAAAUUUCAAUAUGGAACGUAUCUUACAGGUUUCAUAAAUUUAUUUGAGAGAUUACAGCAGCUUCUAUGAAUAACUGUAUUGUUUUACUUCAUACAGAUUCUGCAGUAUCUGUUCUGUCAAAAGCAGUAAAAAGCCUUUUAAGUGUAAUCUCUAUUUAUCUUCAUUGUUUACAUUAUAAACAUUCUAAACGAUACGCUCACCACAUUGCUAUGAGGUACAAAACAUCACUUCUGUUUGUCAGAAGGUAUUAAAUGACUUACCU
ensembl:lncRNA